rnacentral:ncRNA from 2 species
GAUCCGCGACAGGGGAGCGCCAGAAGGGGCGCUGAGAGUGCUGAUGCAGACCCUCGAACCUGAUGCGGUUAGGACCGCCGAAGGGAGUCGAGUUUCUCUUUAC